UACGGGGGGAGCAAGCGUUGUUCGGAUUUACUGGGCGUAAAGGGCGCGUAGGCGGCCAGCACAGGUCAGUUUUGAAAUCUCCGGGCUUAACUCGGAAAGGUCAACUGAUACUGUGCGGCUAGAGUGCAGAAGGGGCAACUGGAAUUCUCGGUGUAGCGGUGAAAUGCGUAGAUAUCGAGAGGAACACCUGCGGCGAAGGCGGGUUGCUGGGCUGACACUGACGCUGAUGCGCGAAAGCCAGGGGAGCGAACGGG
rnacentral:rRNA from 1 species